ACUCCUACGGGAGGCAGCAGUGGGGAAUAUUGCACAAUGGGGGAAACCCUGAUGCAGCCAUGCCGCGUGUGUGAAGAAGGCCUUCGGGUUGUAAAGCACUUUCAGUAGGGAGGAAGGUAGUGUAGUUAACACCUGCAUNUUNUUGUGUACCUACAGAAGAAGCACCGGCUAACUCCGUGCCAGCAGCCGCGGUAAUACGGAGGGUGCGAGCGUUAAUCGGAAUUACUGGGCGUAAAGCGCAUGCAGGCGGCCUGUUAAGUCAGAUGUGAAAGCCCGGGGCUUAACCUCGGAAUUGCAUUUGAAACUGGCAGGCUAGAGUCUUGUAGAGGGGGGUAGAAUUUCAGGUGUAGCGGUGAAAUGCGUAGAGAUCUGAAGGAAUACCAGUGGCGAAGGCGGCCCCCUGGACAAAGACUGACGCUCAGAUGCGAAAGCGUGGGGAGCAAACAGGAUUAGAUACCCUGGUAGGAUAG
rnacentral:rRNA from 1 species